rnacentral:rRNA from 1 species
AGUCGUGUGUUGCAGGCGGGGUGUUCUCUUCGGAGAGUGUCUAUUGCUGGCGGGGCGGACUUCUGGUUAGGACUGAGUGGUGUGGUGGCUUUCGGAGGGGCUUGCGGCCUAUCAGGUAGUUGGUGGGGUAACGGCCUACCAAGCCUUCGACGGGUAGCUGGUCUGAGAGGAUGGUCAGCCGGACUGGGACUGAGAUACGGCCCAG